GACGAACGCUGGCGGCGUGCUUAACACAUGCAAGUCGAACGGAAAGGCCCUGCUUUUGUGGGGUGCUCGAGUGGCGAACGGGUGAGUAACACGUGAGUAACCUGCCCUUGACUUUGGGAUAACUUCAGGAAACUGGGGCUAAUACCGGAUAGGAGCUCCUGCUGCAUGGUGGGGGUUGGAAAGUUUCGGCGGUUGGGGAUGGACUCGCGGCUUAUCAGCUUGUUGGUGGGGUAGUGGCUUACCAAGGCUUUGACGGGUAGCCGGCCUGAGAGGGUGACCGGACACAUUGGGAGUGAGAUAAGGCCCAGACUCCUAAGGGAGGCAGCAGUGGGGAAUAUUGCACAAUGGGCGGAAGCCUGAUGCAGCAACGCCGCGUGCGGGAUGACGGCCUUCGGGUUGUAAACCGCGUUCGCCUGUGACGAAGAGUGAGUGACGGGAAUGGGUAAAGAAGCACCGGCGAACUACGUG
rnacentral:rRNA from 1 species